rnacentral:rRNA from 1 species
UAGGGAAUAUUAGUAAUGGGCGAAAGCCUGAACUAGCAACACCGCGUGUGCGAAGAAGGCCUUCGGGUUGUAAAGCACUUUUUGAGAGGAUGAGGAAGGACGGUACUCUCAGAAUAAGUCUCGGCUCACUACGUGCCAGCAGCCGCGGUAACACGUAGGAGGCGAACGUUAUCCGGAUUUAUUGGGCGUAAAGCGCGUGUAGGUGGUUUGGUAAGUAAAGCGUGAAAGCUCCUGGCUCAACUGGGAGAGGGCGUUCUAAACUGCCAGACUAGAGUAUGGUAGAGGUAGGUGGAAUUCCGGGUGGAGCGGUGGAAUGCGCAGAUAUCCGGAGGAACACCAGUGGCGAAAGCGGCCUCCUGGACCACUCCUGACACUCAGACGCGAAAGCUAGGGUAGCAAACG